UACGUAGGGACCAAGCGUUGUUCGGAUUUACUGGGCGUAAAGGGCGCGUAGGCGGCUUAACAAGUCACUUGUGAAAUCUCCGGGCUUAACUCGGAACGGUCAAGUGAUACUGUCGGACUAGAGUACAGAAGGGGCAACUGGAAUUCUCGGUGUAGCGGUGAAAUGCGUAGAUAUCGAGAGGAACACCGGUGGCGAAGGCGGGUCUCUGGGCCGUAACUGACGCUGAGGAGCGAAAGCAUGGGGAGCGAACAGG
rnacentral:rRNA from 1 species